UAACACGUGGGCAAUCUGCCCUGCACUCUGGGACAAGCCCUGGAAACGGGGUCUAAUACCGGAUAUGAUCACCGGCCGCAUGGUCUGGUGGUGGAAAGCUCCGGCGGUGCAGGAUGAGCCCGCGGCCUAUCAGCUUGUUGGUGGGGUGAUGGCCUACCAAGGCGACGACGGGUAGCCGGCCUGAGAGGGCGACCGGCCACACUGGGACUGAGACACGGCCCAGACUCCUACGGGAGGCAGCAGUGGGGAAUAUUGCACAAUGGGCGAAAGCCUGAUGCAGCGACGCCGCGUGAGGGAUGACGGCCUUCGGGUUGUAAACCUCUUUCAGCAGGGAAGAAGCGAGAGUGACGGUACCUGCAGAAGAAGCGCCGGCUAACUACGUGCCAGCAGCCGCGGUAAUACGUAGGGCGCAAGCGUUGUCCGGAAUUAUUGGGCGUAAAGAGCUCGUAGGCGGCUUGUCACGUCGGAUGUGAAAGCCCGGGGCUUAACCCCGGGUCUGCAUUCGAUACGGGCAGGCUAGAGUUCGGUAGGGGAGAUCGGAAUUCCUGGUGUAGCGGUGAAAUGCGCAGAUAUCAGGAGGAACACCGGUGGCGAAGGCGGAUCUCUGGGCCGAUACUGACGCUGAGGAGCGAAAGCGUGGGGAGCG
rnacentral:rRNA from 2 species